AUAUGCGUGUGUGCAUUUUUGAAAAGAAUUUCAUUUCAUUCCUUCUUUUCUCUCCACGAACCGUUUCUCACCGUAACCUCGUCGUCAUCACCGUAACCUCGUCGUCGUCACCGUAACCUCGUCGUCGUCACCGUUUCUCACCGUAACCUUGUCACCGUGUCGUCGUUUCUAUGAUCUUCUCAUUCUCUAAUCGUCACCGUUUUAUCACAAACCCUUCGCCAUUACCGUUUCUCAUCGUCGUCACCGUUUCUCACAAUCUCUUCACCGUCACCGUUUCUCAUCGUCGUCACCGUUUCUCAGAACCCUCUAAUCUUCUUUCACGAACCCUUCAAAGCUCAAACCCUUUCCCGUUUAGAAAUUUGAAUGUCACCGAAACCCUAACUUUCUCAUUAGUCCCUUUUCCCCCAAAUUGCACGAGCACUGAAUCUCACAUCUUGUUCAAUUAAUCUAUGAAGCAAGAGGAAAUUAGGAGGAAGAGGCAUAGUAAGCUGUUAGCAAGGCUUAUGUCCCAUGUACGACGGUUCCGUCACUCCUGCACGAAGGCUCUGUUAUUCCUGCACGAUUUCUACUUCCCCGUAUGAUUUGUCAUUGAUGGAAACAAAAUUGAAAAGUGGAAUAACACUCUCAUUGUUGACCGUUAUUCUUAUUCUGGGUGGCCUUCUCAUCUGCUAAGGGACAAAUUUCCAGGAGGUCUUUUAUUCUAGCUCAGUCUAGAAUUCACAUAAUUUCUUAUGUUCUCUUUCUGUUAGUAAAUGGUGGAUUGCUUGCUCCAGAUCUUCUAUGUGGCCAAUAAAUAGUGGUUUCUUGGGUUAGGUUGAGACAUGAUUUCAAUGUUGCUUAUUUUCAUGCCGGAAAAGAAAGCUAUAGAAAGAGGAGGGUUUAGUGAUGAAAGAUAUGAAAAGCUCGAGUUUCAGAAGAAAGUUACGGAACAUUACAAGAUCCUUCAGAAUGCUUCCUGGAAGACAACAUAUGGAAUAUAAGGAUGCUUGCAUUGUGAUCAAUGGAGGAAACCAUAAUGAGGUUGUAUCUGAUAAAAUUCAGUAGGUGUUGGCAUAAUAGCACUAGAUGUAUGUGUUAUCAUUCUUGAUCAUUCAAUAAGAUUCAAUCUUUUGCUUGAUAAAUACAAAAGCUUUUGUUGCUGAGCAUAACAGUGUUCAGGUUCAGCAUGCUAAUAAGGUGGUUAAUUGCCAAGGUUCAACAGUGAUUUGGAAAUCGAAAUCUCAUGGAACUGUUCUUGGAGGACUGUAACUGAAGUUGAAAUCAUGUUGUUGGGUAAAGGGAAGGUUGAUCAUUCAGAUGCGGCUUCAUGCACGAAUCAGAACAACCUUUUGAAAAUGAAAAGUCAGAUCAAGAGGUAUAUGAUUCCCAUCUCAGUUUCUUAUGUUUUGAUGUCAUGAGUGGAUGUAUCAAUUUUCCUAGUUUAUAUAUUUUGGAACUUUCAAUCCAAUAUAUUUUCAUCGAUACAUGUUGAGAUACAUAUUUUAAAUUUAGUCAAGAACAUUCAUUGUGUGACGAAAUCAUUUUUCAUUAUCUGAAAAAGGGUGGAGUAUAUUGCCCUAGUAACCCUAAAUUUGACCAUCGGAAUCGAUGAAUAUACUAUGUUUUAUAAAUUUUGUAACUGAUGGAUCAUAGAUGCCUCAAUGACUCUAGAGUAAAAUUUUGGAUGAACUUAAUGACCCUAGUCCCUAAAUGUGAAUGCUAGUUGUUGCCUUAA